GUGUCAGCAGCCGCGGUAAUACGGAGGAUCCGAGCGUUAUCCGGAUUUAUUGGGUUUAAAGGGUGCGUAGGCGGCUUUAUAAGUCAGGGGUGAAAGACGGCAGCUUAACUGUCGCAGUGCCUUUGAUACUGUAGAGCUUGAAUGUGGUUGAAGAUGGCGGAAUGAGACAAGUAGCGGUGAAAUGCAUAGAUAUGUCUCAGAACUCCGAUUGCGAAGGCAGCUAUCUAAGUCAUUAUUGACGCUGAUGCACGAAAGCGUGAGGAUCGAACAGGAUUAGAUACCCGGGUAGUCC
rnacentral:rRNA from 1 species